AGACCCGAAACCCGGUGAUCUAGCCAUGGGCAGGUUGAAGGUUGGGUAACACUAACUGGAGGACCGAACCGACUAAUGUUGAAAAAUUAGCGGAUGACCUGUGGCUGGGGGUGAAAGGCCAAUCAAACCGGGAGAUAGCUGGUUCUCCCCGAAAGCUAUUUAGGUAGCGCCUCGUGAAUUCAUCUCCGGGGGUAGAGCACUGUUUCGGCUAGGGGGCCAUCCCGGCUUACCAACCCGAUGCAAACUGCGAAUACCGGAGAAUGUUAUCACGGGAGACACACGGCGGGUGCUAACGUCCGUCGUGAAGAGGGAAACAACCCAGACCGCCAGCUAAGGUCCCAAAGUCAUGGUUAAGUGGGAAACGAUGUGGGAAGGCCCAGACAGCCAGGAUGUUGGCUUAGAAGCAGCCAUCAUUUAAAGAAAGCGUAAUAGCUCACUGGUCGAGUCGGCCUGCGCGGAAGAUGUAACGGGGCUAAACCAUGCACCGAAGCUGCGGCAGCGAACGUAUCACCCAAGACAACUUUACGGAGUUGGCGAUUGACGGAGCGAAGCGACGUCAAAGCGUUCAUUAAAGUCGAGUUGGCUUAGGGAUACGUUCGUUGGGUAGGGGAGCGUUCUGUAAGCCUGUGAAGGUGUGUCGUGAGGCAUGCUGGAGGUAUCAGAAGUGCGAAUGCUGACAUAAGUAACGAUAAAGCGGGUGAAAAGCCCGCUCGCCGGAAGACCAAGGGUUCCUGUCCAACGUUAAUCGGGGCAGGGUGAGUCGACCCCUAAGGCGAGGCCGAAAGGC
rnacentral:rRNA from 1 species